ensembl:snoRNA SNORA74 Small nucleolar RNA SNORA74
CCCAGCUGUAGGCAACUGCCUAGGUUGCCUCGUACCUAGGCAAGUGUUUCAGUGCUAGGAGAAAAGCAGCCAAUAGCUGGUGGGCAUUCUGGGCCUGAAUUCAUGCCAACUUU